GAAGACCAAGGGUUCCUGUCCAACGUUAAUCGGGGCAGGGUAAGUCGACCCCUAAGGCGAGGCCGAAAGGCGUAGUCGAUGGGAAACGGGUUAAUAUUCCCGUACUUCUUACAAUUGCGAUGGGGGGGACGGAGAAGGCUAGGUGGGCCUGGCGACGGUUGUCCAGGUUCAAGUGCGUAGGCUUAAGAGUUAGGUAAACCGGCUCUUUUUUAAGGCUGAGACACGACGUCGAGCACCUACGGGUGUGAAGUCAUUGAUGCCAUGCUUCCAGGAAAAGCCUCUAAGCUUCAGAUUGUAAGGAAUCGUACCCCAAACCGACACAGGUGGUCGGGU
rnacentral:rRNA from 1 species